rnacentral:lncRNA from 1 species
CCUCAAAAUUUCGAAGAUGGCCCUACUCAUAUUAGAUUUAGAGGCACAAUGGUCAUUCCAUGCUCAGCCCCCAUAAGCUCCACCACUCCCAACACCACUCUAUAUCCAACCCCCAUCAUUCCCACCAGUGAAGAAUAAAGCGAAGGUCACAAUCCCAACGCCUCAACCACACCGGCAUUCUCCCUAGUCCUCAAACUUCAUCCAUAAAUUCCUCAUUGUUUUUAAAACCAAGUGUGGUUGUUUACUAAUGAAAUCAUAAUCACAAUUAGACCUGGAAAGAGGAAUUAAAGUUAAAUUUGGUAGGGAGUGGCACCUUUUAUUAAUGAAAUCAUAAUCAUUUUUAUUGCAUAUCGUUUUCUACUAUGGUUAUUCCAAAUCAAAUAGUGGGGCACCCCAAUCACACCAAAAAAUAAAAAAGGCAUUUAUCUGCGGCUUUCCAAAUCUAGGCCAUGGUGAAAAGAGAGGGUCAACUUGGCUAACAUUUAUGUUUUGUACAAUUUUAUUACAAGUUGCACUUAUUUGGUUUUUAGGCCAUUUUUAAUUGAAAACAACUUUUGUUUGUAUGACUUCAUUGUUUAGCAAGCCACAAAAUUUUAAAUUUUAAACAAAUGUCUAACUUGAAAUGUUUCUUUCAAAGAAAAACAAAACCUUGUAAACACUACACAUUUAUUGGAUUAAUUUCUAUUUUGUAUCCUGCAGUUGUAGUCGUAAGAUAUGUU